AAGCCCACUGGACACGGCCUACUGUACCCGGAGUGCAAGCAUGGGGAGCUGGAGCGAAGGAAGUGGAUCUUGCCAGGUGUCUGCUUUCCGCCCUUCAUUACAAUGAAAAUUCGGGAAGAAUGCAGGCAGCAACGAAGAAAGGGGAUCUGCGAUGGCAGAUAAAGCAUCCAAAGGCGAGGGGAGGCGAGCCUGUUGCUUGUCCCAUCAGAGAACUGCCCACUUAUGCCUACGUGAACCAUCUUCUGUCUGCUGUCGAGGAGCUGCUUGCUUGUGGCAGUAAAGAUGGAACGGAUGCCAC
rnacentral:lncRNA from 1 species